ANAAGCAGGCGCUGCUACCAUGCAGUCGACGAUGAAGCCCUGCUUGCAGGGUGGAUUAGUGGCGAACGGGUGAGUAACACGUGAGUAACCUGCCCCCGACUCUGGGAUAAGCCCGGGAAACUGGGUCUAAUACCGGAUAUGACUUCCUACUGCAUGGUGGGUUGUUGAAAGAUUUAUCGGUGGGGGAUGGACUCGCGGCCUAUCAGCUUGUUGGUGAGGUAAUGGCUCACCAAGGCGACGACGGGUAGCCGGCCUGAGAGGGUGACCGGCCACACUGGGACUGAGACACGGCCCAGACUCCUACGGGAGGCAGCAGUGGGGAAUAUUGCACAAUGGGCGGAAGCCUGAUGCAGCGACGCCGCGUGAGGGAUGACGGCCUUCGGGUUGUAAACCUCUUUCAGUAGGGAAGAAGCGAAAGUGACGGUACCUGCAGAAGAAGCGCCGGCUAACUACGUGCCAGCAGCCGCGGUAAUACGUAGGGCGCAAGCGUUAUCCGGAUUUAUUGGGCGUAAAGAGCUCGUAGGCGGUUUGUCGCGUCUGCCGUGAAAGUCCGAGGCUCAACCUCGGAUCUGCGGUGGGUACGGGCAGACUAGAGUGAUGUAGGGGAGACUGGAAUUCCUGGUGUAGCGGUGAAAUGCGCAGAUAUCAGGAGGAACACCGAUGGCGAAGGCAGGUCUCUGGGCAUUUACUGACGCUGAGGAGCGAAAGCAUGGGGAGCGAACAGGAUUAGAUACCCUGGUAGUCCAUGCCGUAAACGUUGGGCACUAGGUGUGGGGGACAUUCCACGUUUUCCGCGCCGUAGCUAACGCAUUAAGUGCCCCGCCUGGGGGAGUACGGCCGCAAGGCUAAAACUCAAAGGAAUUGACGGGGGCCCGCACAAGCGGCGGAGCAUGCGGAUUAAUUCGAUGCAACGCGAAGAACCUUACCAAGGCUUGACAUGUGCCAGACCGCUCCAGAGAUGGGGUUUCCCUUCGGGGCUGGGUUCACAGGUGGUGCAUGGGUUGUCGUCAGCUCGUGUCGUGAGAUGUUUGGGUUAAGUCCCGCAACGAGCGCAACCCUCGUUUCCAUGUUGCCAGCACGUAGUGGUGGGGACUCAUGGGAGACUGCCGGGGUCAACUCGGGAGAAGGUGGNGAUGACGUCAAUCAUCAUGCCCCUAUGUCUGGGCUCACGCAUGCUACAUGGNCGGNACCAUGNUGCGAUACUGUGAGNNGAGCUAAUUCCUUAAAAA
rnacentral:rRNA from 1 species